rnacentral:rRNA from 1 species
CCUACGGGAGGCAGCAGUGAGGAAUAUUGGUCAAUGGACGAGAGUCUGAACCAGCCAAGUAGCGUGAAGGAUGACUGCCCUAUGGGUUGUAAACUUCUUUUAUAAAGGAAUAAAACGAGGCACGUGUGCCUUUUUGCAUGUACUUUAUGAAUAAGGAUCGGCUAACUCCGUGCCAGCAGCCGCGGUAAUACGGAGGAUCCGAGCGUUAUCCGGAUUUAUUGGGUUUAAAGGGAGCGUAGAUGGGUUGUUAAGUCAGUUGUGAAAGUUUGCGGCUCAACCGUAACAUGGCAAUUGAUACUGGCAGUCUUGAGUACAGGUGAGGUAGGCGGAAUGCGGGGUGUAGCGGUGAAAUGCUUAGAUAGCGCGAAGAACCCCGAUUGCGAAGGCAGCAUACUAAACUGUGACUGACAUUGAGGCUCGAAAGUGUGGGUAUCAAACAGGAUUAGAUACCCGAGUAGUC